rnacentral:rRNA from 1 species
GAUGAACGCUAGCGAUAGGCUUAACACAUGCAAGUCGAGGGGCAGCACGGUGUAGCAAUACACUGGUGGCGACCGGCGUACGGGUGCGUAACACGUAUGCAACCUACCCGCUAUUGGGGGAUAACCCGGCGAAAGUCGGACUAAUAUCCCAUAUUAUUCUUACCGGGCAUCCGGUGAGUCUGAAAGAUUUAUCGAUUGCGGAUGGGCAUGCGGAUGAUUAGCUAGUAGGUGGGGUAACGGCUCACCUAGGCGACGAUCAUUAGGGGUUCUGAGAGGAAGGUCCCCCACACUGGAACUGAGACACGGUCCAGACUCCUACGGGAGGCAGCAGUGAGGAAUAUUGGUCAAUGGGCGCUAGCCUGAACCAGCCAAGUCGCGUGAAGGAUGACAGAUCUAUGGUUUGUAAACUUCUUUUGCAGGGGAGUAAAGUGCGACACGUGUGUUGUAUUGCAAGUACCCUGCGAAUAAGCAUCGGCUAACUCCGUGCCAG